GUCUCUUUAGCUCAGCUGGAUAGAGCAAUAGCCUUCUAAGCUAUCGGUCGCAGGUUCAAAUCCUGCAAGAGACA
rnacentral:tRNA from 1 species